rnacentral:lncRNA from 1 species
UUCUCUUUUUGCUUCAUUGAUUUUUUUCUCUUGAUUCAAAUACACUAAAACUGAUCUUAAGUAACUCUAGUAUAUCUUUGAGUUCAUUUGGCUUGUGUUGAUAUUGUUGUGAGUCAAAGUCCACUUCAGUUGGUAUUUUCUGGUUUGAUUUUACUGGGUUUCUGGUCUAUUGCUGUUGGUUUGCUGGAUUUUAUUAAAAUCUGUUGUUGGGUUUAGCUACUGCUGUUGCUGUUUUGCUGUGUUGAUUACUGCCUUGUUGAUUUCUCACCUUCCUAUUCUCUUGUUUCCAAUAUAAGGUACUUGACUGUAACACUAUUUAAGCUGAAAAUAUGAAGGCAUAAAUGCAUAUGAAAUUGAAGUUGGAAGUUUGAUUAAAUUGUUUCUU